UAAUACGGAGGGUAGCAAGCGUUAAUCGGAAUUACUGGGCGUAAAGCGCACGCAGGCGGUCUGUCAAGUCGGAUGUGAAAUCCCCGGGCUCAACCUGGGAACUGCAUUCGAAACUGGCAGGCUAGAGUCUUGUAGAGGGGGGUAGAAUUCCAGGUGUAGCGGUGAAAUGCGUAGAGAUCUGGAGGAAUACCGGUGGCGAAGGCGGCCCCCUGGACAAAGACUGACGCUCAGGUGCGAAAGCGUGGGGAGCAAACAGGAUUAGAUACCCUGGUAGUCCACGCCGUAAACGAUGUCGAUUUGGAGGUUGUUCCCUUGAGGAGUGGCUUCCGGAGCUAACGCGUUAAAUCGACCGCCUGGGGAGUACGGCCGCAAGGUUAAAACUCAAAUGAAUCGACGGGGGCCCGCACAAGCGGUGGAGCAUGUGGUUUAAUUCGAUGCAACGCGAAGAACCUUACCUACUCUUGACAUCCAGAGAACUUUCCAGAGAUGGAUUGGUGCCUUCGGGAACUCUGAGACAGGU
rnacentral:rRNA from 1 species